rnacentral:rRNA from 1 species
GCCUAGAGAUAGGUAUUCCCUUGUGGCCUGUGUGCAGGUGGUGCAUGGCUGUCGUCAGCUCGUGUCGUGAGAUGUUGGGUUAAGUCCCGCAACGAGCGCAACCCUUAUCUUAUGUUGCCAGCGCGUAAUGGCGGGGACUCGUGAGAGACUGCCGGGGUCAACUCGGAGGAAGGUGGGGAUGACGUCAAGUCAUCAUGCCCCUUAUGUCCAGGGCUUCACACAUGCUACAAUGGCCGGUACAAAGGGCUGCGAUGCCG